UAUAUAUAUAUAUAUAAAAUUUAUUUUUAUUUAUUUAUACAAUAAAUAAAAUAUUUAAUAAUUUUUAUUCCUUAGAUCUUCAUCCAGCGAUUAAAUAUUUUAUAUAUUGUAUAAAUAAAUAAAAAUAAAUUAUAUAUAUAUAUAUAUAAUUUAUUCGGGUUUGGGUUCGGAUAAUAUUUCGUAUAUCUAUACCUAUUGACAUCGCUACUCCCUAUUCCUCUUUUUAAUAUACAAAAUAUACGUAAAAACACGGUGAAUCAUUUACCGUGUUUAUACACGGUGAAUGGUUCACCGUGUUUAACUUAACACAUUGACCCUGGCCCCACCUGCGUGGCGCUGACAUAGCGCCUGCGUGGCAGGCUCAGAGUCAUUUUUACAAAUUAAAUUUUAAAAGGGCUAUUUUUAAAAUAAAAAUUUGUCGGAGACUAUGAAAAAAAAGAGCCCUUUUUGAUAAUAUAGUUUCAUGAUUGCGAAUAUGGAGCACGUGAAUCAGAGUUGGUCUUGUUAAAUAGGCAUAAGUUCACGUAUUCUGACGUAAUGUUAAUUUUAAAAAUAGUGUCAACGUAUCAUUAUGUAGUAGUUCUUCAAGCCUAAUCAGGGGUGAUGUAUCUGCACCAUAAGUACUUGAAAUUUGGCUUCGCGACACCAUAAAUUAGCAUUUGGAUGCUGAUUUGGUAGGUUUCCGUUUUGGGGUUUGCGAUNAUAUAUAUAUAUAAUUUAUUCGGGUUUGGGUUCGGAUAAUAUUUCGGAUAUCCAUACCUAUUGACAUCUCUACUCCCUAUUCCUCUUUUCAAUAUACAAAAUAUACGUAAGAAACACGGUGAAUCAUUCACUCAUUCACCGUGUUUAGACACGGUGAAUGGUUCACCGUGUUUAACUUAACACAUUGACCCUGGCCCCGCCCGCGUGGCACUGACGUGGCGCCUGCGUGGCAGGCCCAGAAUCAUUUUUAUAAAUUAAAUUUUAAGAGGGCUAUUUUUUAAAUAAAAAUUUGCCAGGGUACUAUAUG
rnacentral:lncRNA from 1 species